GGGGCCAUGGCUCAGUGGUAGAGCAUCUGGUUGGCAUGCUGAAGGUCCCAGGUUCAAUCCCUAGCAUUUCCA
rnacentral:tRNA from 1 species